rnacentral:lncRNA from 1 species
GGUGACAUUUGAAAGAGACAUAUUGGACAGAAAUGACAUACGUGAAAGCUAAGAUACAAUAUAUUUAAUUUUCUAAGAAUUCAGUUCAAGGUAGUCUGCCUGGUUUCUCAAGUUCUGCAUGUUUCUUCAGUAGACUAAAUAAUGAUAAGGAAGCUGAGAUGUAGAGCUGAAGUGUCUUGCCCAAGAUCAUUUGUCUAGUUCUUCCUUAUGCCAGUCCACCAAGAAUACCUGCUUAAAGGCCAGCUGCAGCUCCUGUUCCACUUCCUUUCUUGUACUGCUGAACAUCCAGAUAGAGGCAUUGACAUGCAUGGUUUCCAACUGAUCACUUCCUACUCCCUUAAGGACCUCCUGUCAGGCAGAAGACAGCUGGAUUCUCAUUUCUGCUUCUGCAUUCAGUCUAUUGUGAUAUAGCAUAUCAUGUAACUUCUGAAAAACUUCACUGUACACAGAUGCUGACCUCACAGACUCCCUGAAAGGAUCUCCAUGACCUCUAUGGUUCCUUAGACUGCACUUUGAGAACUAUUGACGUACAGGGAAAAAUGCUCUUGGUGUUCCAGUUAAGCACAGAAUAAAAUCUGGACUGUGUCAGUUUGUAAAGAUCUUAUGUCUACUUGGUCAUCAGCCAAGAAGGGAUUCCGAAGAUAGAAGAGGAGGCAUCAACACCGUGAACAUCAUGGCUGAGUUAUUUUGUGAGAGGGAUAAGCCUAAAGUAAAAACCUUGGAUUUGCCUCUGUCCUUGAACAUGCUAUCUGGAAAGAGUUUUCUUAAAAGUAUUGUUGUGAACACAUCCAUUUUCCCAGUAUAGUUGAAUGCAGGGUUUAAUAAAUGGAAUGAAU